rnacentral:rRNA from 1 species
UACGGGGGGGGCAAGCGUUGUUCGGAAUUACUGGGCGUAAAGGGCUCGUAGGUGGCCAACUAAGUCGGACGUGAAAUCCCUCAGCUUAACUGGGGAACUGCGUCCGAUACUGAAUGCCUCGAGUAAGGUAGGGGCAUGCGGAACUGAUGGUGGAGCGGUGAAAUGUGUGAUAUCAUCAGGAACUCCGGUGGCGAAGGCGGCAUGCUGGACCUUCGACU